rnacentral:rRNA from 1 species
CACGUAGGAGGCAAACGUUAUCCGGAUUUAUUGGGCGUAAAGCGCGUGUAGGUGGUUCUGUAAGUAGGGCGUGAAAGCUCCUGGCUCAACCGGGAGAGGCCGUUCUAUACUGCAGAGCUAGAGGAUGGUAGAGGGAGGUGGAAUUCCAGGUGUAGCGGUGGAAUGCGCAGAUAUCUGGAGGAACACCAGUGGCGAAGGCGGCCUCCUGGACCAUUCCUGACACUCAGACGCGAAAGCUAGGGUAGCAAACGGGAUUAGAUACCCCGGUAGU